rnacentral:rRNA from 1 species
GAUGAACGCUGGCGGCGUGCCUAAUACAUGCAAGUCGAGCGAACAGAUGAGGAGCUUGCUCCUCUGACGUUAGCGGCGGACGGGUGAGUAACACGUGGAUAACCUACCUAUAAGACUGGGAUAACUUCGGGAAACCGGAGCUAAUACCGGAUAAUAUAUUGAACCGCAUGGUUCAAUAGUGAAAGACGGUUUUGCUGUCACUUAUAGAUGGAUCCGCGCCGCAUUAGCUAGUUGGUAAGGUAACGGCUUACCAAGGCAACGAUGCGUAGCCGACCUGAGAGGGUGAUCGGCCACACUGGAACUGAGACACGGGCCAGACUCCUACGGGAGGCAGCAGUAGGGAAUCUUCCGAAAUGGGCGAAAGCUUGACGGAGCAACGCCGCGUGAGUGAUGAAGGUCUUCGGAUCGUAAAACUCUGUUAUUAGGGAAGAACAAAUGUGUAAGUAACUAUGCACGUCUUGACGGUACCUAAUCAGAAAGCCACGGCUAACUACGUG